GGUGGGCCAAUGCUCCACUCCACAGUUUAGUGGUUUUCUGGGGAGACAUAGAUCCAGGCCAGGGUUUUUUGGACCGUCUCCAACCCACUGCUCAGCUGCAGUUAAUAAGCUGUUGCAGUGGGAAUAAAUCCCUCCCUGCUAGGCAGGUAAAGGAGAGGGAUUGCUGGCUUCCUCCCAGGAAGCAGGUAGGAGAGAGGCUGUUCUCUCCAGAUAGAGAGUCAAGGAGACUAGGCACUGGGAGUGCAGAAAGGAAGCAGUCAAGGCUGGCUUGGAGCACUGGGAGUGCAGAAAGGAAAG